CAGGAAUUCAAAAGUAAAAGCAGAGAUGGAGGUCCGUUCGUUUCGUCUAACGUAUCUUUAGGCUCUGCUUCGGAGCUGGGUUUGGCCCUUGUGUUUGUAUGACUUUGAAAGGAUAAGAACGACCCCCACCCACUCCAAACGAAAAUCCAUCUCUCUACUACUCUUGAAUAUGGUUUUAUUAUUAUUCAAGGACAAUUCCAAAAUAACAAAUGUAAAAACAACCAAAAGAACUGCAAGAAACAAGGUGAUUGCAAAAUUCUCUCAUCGAUAGUGUACUUUGUGAGAGAUCAAGUAUUCUGGAGAACUCAAAGUCAGAUUCACCAGAUUUAUUACAUUCGCAUAUAAUAUUUGCAGCUUUUCAAAGGCAGACAAGAUAAUUGGCUUAUGAAAAAGACAUAUCACCAUUUCACGAAGUUCACAUUUUUUCUGGUCUAUUGAAAUAGUUUAAAACUGAUGACAAAUGCCAAAAAAUGGUAAUAGGACAAAUCCAAACAAGUGGUGUUACCUGUUGGAGAUUUCCAUUUGUACCCGGCGUUUGACACACCGGGUCACCCGAUGUGAUGAGGGUGUCAGGCCCCACACAUUUAUUGGCAUGAGACCCCGACACCUCAUGUAAGUGGAAGGUAACUCGAAG
rnacentral:lncRNA from 1 species